CAAACCAGCCAAAGAAAACCAGCCCCAGCCAAUCUUUAAUGUCAGCCCUGCUGCCGCCACUAAAUAUGUAGGAGGUCCAAAAUCAAAACCCAGCACCAAACUUGGGGGAAGUCAAGUUGCCUUUAUCCUGUGAUCUAAUGUCCACCUUUCUACACCAAUAAGAGCAGCUGUGCAGCGGGAAGCAAGAAGACCUCAAACAGCCAAUGGGACUUGGAGGAAAGGACGAGUUGGUGUGAGAACUUCAGCUGAAACUCAGUUAAGGAGCAAUGCAGGGGUCCACUGAAAUGUCUCAAGGGGUUGGAGCCAUCGGGAUGCCUGCGCUUUCAAAACUGACAGCCUGAACAUUCCCCUUGGAUUAAAUCCUCACAUGAAAGAGACUCAGUUUCAAAUAGAGUUAAAAUAAAGCAUGACCUCAAAAGUAUGUGUAAAGGAAAGAGGAGGUCUAAAAAAAAGCAGGAGAGGGAAACAGAGUCUGGAGCUCUCCACAACAAGAGGUCAUAUAUCUGAACAGUAUACAAAACAACAGAUCAGGGGCCACAUCUUUUCUGCUCACCCUCGUGGCUCCAACACCUACCGUAAUUCCUGGCAGAUAUGGAAACUGGUAUAAAAAUGAUUUAUAAGAA